rnacentral:lncRNA from 10 species
CUGAACUACAUGACGGACAGGGGAUAUUAGGCAAGUGACUCUAAUCAAUAAUCUCUUGAUCUCUUACAUAUUAAUACACUGCCUGCUGUUAUUAAGCUCCGUAAUAAGGAAGGGGAGAGAAAGUUAGUGUAGCUCUGCUGUAGGCCCGGCAAGGCCCCCAGUGAUUACGCUAACUGACUGCGAAAAUGCACAGAGGAGCCCGGCCUCAGCCUCUUCAAUCUAAUCCAAUCUUAAGGAAUGGCAGCUCUGAGUAGCACCGACUGGAUAAUUAUUGGCGCUGACAAGAUAUUAAAAAAAAAAUCAGGGACUACUUGGGAUUUAAAAGCCACGCACGUGAUUCCAAUGCCACUCAGCUCAUGAAAUUUAAUCACUGGACCCCACUGGUGGCAGUUUCUACAGGGGAGACCCAUGGCCACAUGGUGGGGUUUUCAAGUUCUCCAAAGUCAUCGUCCAGCUUCAAGUCUAAAGAAAUCCAUUCAUUUCUUAUUGCUAAGAAAACAGGGAAGAUUUUUACAUCUAAACACGAAGGUCCUGUGUGCUGGGCCUCAUCACCCGGAGAGAGAGGCUGCGCCCGGCUUCCCAGUCCCUGGCAUCCUGCAGGCUGCAGGCAGUGAGGUUCAGGAACAGGUUCUGACUUCCUGGCAUUUCUUCUGGAAACUUCUUGGGACCCUCCUGUGUCUCCUAAAGAAAGGCUUGAGUCAAAGGGCAAGACUGCCCUACUAGGCAGGGGACAUUCAGAUGCCAGCGCCUCCCUGACUAUGAAGGGACUGACAGAGAGGCUACUGAGUCUUCCUCAUGACAGCCAAUUGUCAGUUUUAUCCCCCAACUCCCAGCCCCAGGCCUCACAACUAGUGGGUCUGCAUUCCUCACACACAGUGGGUCUGCAUUCCUCACACACAGUGGGUCCAGUUCCUCCCACACAGUAGGUGCCUGUUGCCUGGCAAGCACCAGUGCCCAGUGGUUGCUGAAUGACUCUGUCGGAGCGCUCUGCCUUGCUCCCUGUCGGGGCCUGCGUCUGUCAUGUCUUUUCCAGUUGAGCUUGCAGGGAAGGUCAGCAGAUCCUCUCACAUCCCGCUGAGACAAGAAGUUCGGCGUGCAGGAGCAAGGCAGUCAGACUAGAAGGGCAGCUCGUUCUGUGAGAGGUAUUGUCGGGGUGAAGCUGCUCACAAAAGCCCUAAUAGUUGCUGGACUGACCGCCAAAAUUGAUGUGACUUCCAUCAUCACAGCAGGGAAGGCCCCUGCACACCUGUGUGGCCUCCGUUUGCAAUUCCUAGUUCCCAAAAACUACAUCUCCACUGCCCAGCGUCCUCUUCCUGGCUGCCAUGUGGAGGGAGAUGUGGAAGCUCACCGAGGUCUGGGACCUGCCCGUGCCAAGCCAAAGCCCACCGUCCUGGGCCAUUUUCACCUCUACAGAAUUUCAAACAUUAAAAAAUAUGUAUUGUGUGGUUUAGAUGUUUAAAUUCUUACUGUUCGUUCUGUGUCUUAGAUUUUGCUAUGAGGAACUGAAGUUUUAAUGGUGAUGUCAGAUGGAGAAUAUGUCUCCUUUUGCUUAAAGGUUUCACUCUUACAACCAUGGAAGAUUCUAUGCUCAGCUUCCGGCGAGACUAACAGUGACAGAGGAAUCACAAAUACAGCUCAGAAUGCAGAGUUGAGGCAUGGAACGCACAUGGGUUGACAGCCACGCUGAGGACGCAGCUCAGCCUUGUGGCUGACCCUCAGCCCGGGAGCUCCAGAUGGGCAUUUCCUGGUUCCUGGAGGAGCCGCACUCACAGGCAACUGGACACCGGCCUUCUUGGUGCUUCCCUUUCUCAGAGAGCAACAAACAAUGCAACGGCAAAGCUCUGCAGACACCCCGGAAGCAACACUGCUCCCUGCUGUGGGAAAAGGCUGUGGCAAUGUUGGGCUUCACACCUACCAGGGUCAGCCCCCGGACUGCACAGAUGUCAGCCUGUGGGAGGCUUGGCUAUUCUGAGAGCCUGGGCACAAGCUUGUGGUGACUACAGUCCUGGGCCCUGGAGGGCCACAGCUGUCAACUGUAGGAACUUUACUUGAACUCUUCCUUCCCCACAUCCUCAUCUCUACAUUUCUGGUAAUAAUGUUACCCGAAAGGGUAAAUGAAACCAACUAUCUGAAACCGACAGCAAGGUGCCUGGCACGUGGUAAAUGCUUAAUAAAACUUUCGGUUUCCUGAACCUCGACCCUGGGAUUUUUGUCUGCCU